UGCCAGCAGCCGCGGUAAUACGGAGGGUCCAAGCGUUAUCCGGAUUUAUUGGGUUUAAAGGGUCCGUAGGCGGGCUAAUAAGUCAGUGGUGAAAUCCUACAGCUCAACUGUAGAACUGCCAUUGAUACUGUUAGCCUUGAAUUAGAUUGAAGUGAGUAGAAUAUGUAGUGUAGCGGUGAAAUGCAUAGAUAUUACAUAGAAUACCAAUUGCGAAGGCAGCUCACUAAGUCUAUAUUGACGCUGAGGGACGAAAGCGUGGGGAGCGAACAGGAUUAGAUA
rnacentral:rRNA from 1 species